AUACGUAGGGUGCGAGCGUUAAUCGGAAUUACUGGGCGUAAAGCGUGCGCAGGCGGUUAUGUAAGACAGAUGUGAAAUCCCCGGGCUCAACCUGGGAACUGCAUUUGUGACUGCAUGGCUAGAGUACGGUAGAGGGGGAUGGAAUUCCGCGUGUAGCAGUGAAAUGCGUGGAUAUGCGGAGGAACACCGAUGGCGAAGGCAAUCCCCUGGACCUGUACUGACGCUCAUGCACGAAAGCGUGGGGAGCAAACAGGAUUAGAAACCCCAGUAGUCC
rnacentral:rRNA from 1 species